rnacentral:lncRNA from 1 species
CAAAAUAUAAAGAUGCUUUGGUAUUCAAGUUUUCACACCACACUCAAUUCUCCCAGAGAGAAAUAUAAAGGAAGCACAGAGUACUUCUCCAGGCUGCGUUCUCCGACAUGAAAACCAGGAAGUGCAGUGCACUGCUCUUGUUGCCAUGCCUGCCAGGAAGCUGAAACAGAACUGAGACGGAGUUCUAGGACUCAAAUACUCGACUCUUUCUUUUCUUCACUUCCCCUUUAUCUGCCAUUCCUUUCUGCCAUUACAAGCUGUCUCCUUCUUACAUCUUUUUCAAAGAUUUUGAAUCCUCUGGGUCAGGCACACCGGAACCUUUUGGAGGGCAGAUGGCGUGUGAGUGUAAGAACAGCAAGCAGGAGGUAUGAGCUUUUAAUAUUAGCUCUGCCUAUGACUCAUCCUGUGUUUAGGUAUUGAGGCUUGAUGUUUAUUCUUGGGAUAUAGUUCAGGCAUUUUCCAGAUGAGGAAGGGCUUUGGGGCAUCUAGCUGGCUUUUCCUAAUAACUCACACAGUCGUCCUCAUCUUGUUUAAGUAUGGCUUACUUCUCUGAGGGUCUUUGAUCCCCUGACUGCAGACACUCUGGCACCAGGGAGCCUUAAAGGUCAAGGAGUGAAGAUACACACAGAGGUUUGGAUGUGGUCUGUUUGCCAAGAGUUCACAUGCCAGGGGCUUGGUCUCCAGUGUGGAAGGCUAAAAGAUUGUAGAGUCUUAAGAAAUGGACUAACAUGCAUGGUUACUACAAGAAAGGUCAUUUGAUUUCAUGGGGCUCUUGGGGCCAUCACAGAGUCUCAGGCAAUGUCUCAAGUGAGCCUGGCUGGCCUCAAACUCACUCCACGGUGAGGACAAGCAGGAACUCCACCUCUCCAGUGCCGGGAAAACAGGCAAGGAGCCAUCACAGAUGCUUCAUUCCUUGCUAGUACUUGAAGCCAGGGCCUGCUGCAUGCCCUGCAGGCCAUCUAACAACUGAACCACAUCUGCCCUAUUUGCUUCUCAAAGCUGUCACCUGUGAAGCCUUGAGUUUCAGCUCUUCCUAAAGAAAUACAAAAAAGAAAUCAGAGACAAUCCUUUGUUCCUCUUAUUGCAUUUAGCUGUGAUAACACUGAGAUUGAACUUCGUUUAAUUGUUAUUGAGGAGUUAGCAAGGAAAGAAUUACAAAUGCUCACAUGGUUCC